rnacentral:sRNA from 1 species
UUUAAGAUAAUUCAAGAAUCAGGUUUUCAUAUGAAACAAUCGCAAUGCUUCGGCACUGCACAGGCCACAGAAGCCUGCAGCUGCCUCCGGCCCCGCCUGCCCCCGCUCCCCCAGGCCUGCCCUGCCCUUUUUCUUCUCUCCCUGCUUCUCCCUCGCCCUCAGCCCAGCAGCGUCUCCUGGCCAGUCCAGGCUUUCGGGGCCGGAUUGGGCAGCAGCCCCUGCAGCCGGUCCCACUGAGUCUGCCCUGCCUUCCAGAUUCUGGUACAGGUCAAAGAGGUCCUCUCCAAGCUGAGCACGCUCGUGGAAACCACACUCAAAGAGAGAAGAUUACAGUAUGCGGGGACACCCAUGGCCAGUUCUAUGACCUCCUCAACAUAUUCGAGCUCAACGGUUUACCCUCGGAGACCAACCCCUAUAUAUUUAAUGGUGACUUUGUGGACCGAGGCUCCUUCUCUGUAGAAGUGAUCCUCACCCUUUUCGGCUUCAAGCUUCUGUACCCAGAUCACUUUCACCUACUUCGAGGCAACCACGAGACAGACAACAUGAACCAGAUCUACGGUUUCGAGGGUGAGGUGAAGGCCAAGUACACAGCCCAGAUGUACGAGCUCUUUAGCGAGGUGUUCGAGUGGCUCCCGUUGGCCCAGUGCAUCAACGGCAAAGUGCUGAUCAUGCACGGAGGCCUGUUCAGUGAAGACGGCGUCACCCUGGAUGACAUCCGGAAAAUUGAGCGGAAUCGACAACCCCCAGAUUCAGGUGAGCAGCGUGGGGCCGGGUGUCUCCAGCAGAAAGGGCAGCCUGGGCUGAGCGCUCUCCUGCAACCCGGCCCUGCCUAGAGGAUGGGCUUUGUGCCCUUGGCAAGAAACAGCGGGUCUGAGCCUCAGUUGCCUCACCUGCAACCUGGGCCAGUGCACCUCCUUCACGGGGCUGUGGUGGCAAGCACGGUCGUGACCAUGGUGCGGGCUGAAGGCACGGUGACCGCCGAGCACAGCUGUCCUUAUUUAUUUGUGAGUUCAGCUGUGGACCCCUGGAGGGUCUUGGGGUUCCUGUGCUAGUGAUGGGCACACUUCAGAGAGUUCACCCACAGGUGCACACGCACAUGCACACUGUGAGUGCUGCAGAGGACGUGGAUUGGGUGGGCUGGUGCCGGGUGCUCGGGAAGGCCUCUCCAGGGAGGCGAGGUUUGAGCUGACACUGCAGGAAGCAGAGGCACCUGCCGUGCACAGAG